rnacentral:ncRNA from 1 species
AGGAGCCGUGUGACGGGAAACUGUCAAGCACGGUUUUGAAGACGAGUAGGAGUGGUGACACUCAUGCUUAGUUUUAACAACAAAGAACGCUCACGACUCCAA